rnacentral:rRNA from 1 species
AGUGAACGCUGGCGGUAGGCCUAACACAUGCAAGUCGAACGGCAGCACAGUAAGAGCUUGCUCUUACGGGUGGCGAGUGGCGGACGGGUGAGGAAUACAUCGGAAUCUACUUUUUCGUGGGGGAUAACGUAGGGAAACUUACGCUAAUACCGCAUACGACCUACGGGUGAAAGCAGGGGAUCUUCGGACCUUGCGCGAUUGAAUGAGCCGAUGUCGGAUUAGCUAGUUGGCGGGGUAAGGGCCCACCAAGGCGACGAUCCGUAGCUGGUCUGAGAGGAUGAUCAGCCACACUGGAACUGAGACACGGUCCAGACGCCUACGAGAGGCAGCAGUGGGGAAUGUUGGACAAUGGGCGCAAGCCUGAUCCAGCCAUACCGCGUGGGUGAAGAAGGCCUUCGGGUUGUAAAGCCCUUUUGUUGGGAAAGAAAAGCAGCAGGUUAAUACCCCGCUGUUCUGACGGUACCCAAAGAAUAAGCACCGGCUAACUUCGUG